GGAAGGAAAAACUAUAGAAAUUAAUGGUAUAUAGUACAGUGUGGCUGUUUAAUCUGAAAAAAAGGGGAAAAACUAUAAAAAUAAAAAAUAGUUUUUGUUUUCCGAUCAAUAGCCCGUAAAAAAGCUGACGUGAAAUUAAUUGCUAAUAAAUAAAUAUUUUAUAAAAUACCACGUCAAAUCUACUUUUCCUUUUCUCUCUCUUACUCAGUUCAUAUUUCAUUCUGUUGGAUAUAACUCCAACGGUCCAACCCCACCAGCACGGCAGACGCGUCACCAGUGCCACAGCUACUACCACCACCACGCGCACCUUUUCCUAUUUCCAUCACCAUCACCACAUGCACCUUUUCCUAUUUAAUGAUAUCCACCCUUGUCUUACCCACAGGAACUCGCUGUUGGAAGUAUUAGAGGAGAGAGCUCUUUGAUGCAUUUCGUCGAACAGGUAAUGUGCAAUCUCCCAUGGCUUGAGGCCAAAUGACAAGUGACAAGUGUAUCUUUUUAAACGGUACUGGAAAUAUGGAGAGAACAAAAUGCAAUCCAAAUCUACAUCUGAUAUCUUUUAUUAUUUCUGGCAUCUCGUAGCUCUAACGGUAAGCUAUAACUUUUCUUGGAGUUAAGCUAUUCUUAAAGCCUCUUCCUGUGCUUUUGAUUGGAUAGUUUUAAAUUUAAGAACCC
rnacentral:lncRNA from 1 species